CACGUAGGGUGCGAGCGUUAAUCGGAAUUACUGGGCGUAAAGCGUGCGCAGGCGGUUUUGUAAGCCAGAUGUGAAAGCCCCGGGCUUAACCUGGGAAUGGCAUUUGGGACUGCAAGGCUUGAGUGCGGCAGAGGAGACUGGAAUUCCUGGUGUAGCAGUGAAAUGCGUAGAUAUCAGGAGGAAUACCGAUGGCGAAGGCAGGUCUCUGGGCUGACACUGACGCUCAUGCACGAAAGCGUGGGGAGCAAACAGG
rnacentral:rRNA from 1 species